UGGGGGACAUUGCACAAUGGGCGAAAGCCUGAUGCAGCGACGCCGCGUGAGGGAAGACGGUCUUCGGAUUGUAGACCUCUGUCUUUGGGGAAGAAAAUGACGGUACCCAAAGAGGAAGCACCGGCUAACUCCGUGCCAGCAGCCGCGGUAAUACGGGGGGUGCAAGCGUUGUCCGGAAUCAUUGGGCGUAAAGCGUUCGUAGGCGGUAUGUCAAGUCUGGUGUUAAAGCCCGAGGCUCAACCUCGGUUCGGCAUUGGAUACUGGCAAACUAGAAUGUGGUAGAGGUAAAGGGAAUUCCUGGUGUAGCGGUGAAAUGCGUAGAUAUCAGGAGGAACAUCGGUGGCGAAAGCGCUUUACUGGACCAUUAUUGACGCUGAGGAACGAAAGCCAGGGGAGCAAAUG
rnacentral:rRNA from 1 species